rnacentral:rRNA from 1 species
GCAUCGAUGAAGAACGCAGCCAGUUGCGAUAAGUAGUGUGAAUUGCAGAAUUCAGUGAAUCAUCGAAUCUUUGAACGCAAAUUGCGCUUUCUGGAUAUCCAGGGAGCAUGCCUGUCUGAGCGUCGUUUAAAAAUCAACAUACUUUGGUAUGGGUAGGGAUUUUAGGUGGCUCACUUCACUGUGGGUUAUCUAUAUCUCGAUGUAUCUGAACCUUGCAUUACUUUGUUUGUAUUGCUUGGAAGGCUCAACUUGCUUCUGUCUUUCUAAAGUUUGUACUAUCAUUCGAUGUAGGUGUUCUUACAUUCUUCGGAAUGAAUUUCUUUUUUUGACCUCAGAUCAGACAAGACUACCCGCUGAAUUUAAGCAUAUCAAUAAGCGGAGGA